ACCUUUGACCCCUAGUUCAUUGAGGAUAUUUUGUAUGUCUCUACCCCGCUAUAGAUCGGUACCUUUUUGCUGGAUUUUGCAAUGUAUACAAUUGUUGUUGCUUUUUUUUUAAAGUUUCAUUUUAGUUUUUUAUUAUUUUACAUUCUUGACGUUUCUUAGUUAUUAGAGAGAUACAAAAUAAUAAGUUUUAAUUCGCCAGUGAAUUAACUUCGAUAGAGGUCCAUAAAUUCUUCGUAAAUUUGACAGUUUGGUCGAUACCAACAGUUUGUACGAUUUUAAAAAUUAUUAUCGUGCGUAAAAAUUUCUAUAAAAAUAAUAAAAAUCGACAGAUGUAAAUGAAAUAAGAUUAUUCAUAAUUAUUUUCGUUCUUGCAAAUCUUGGUAAUAAUUUUUUCUUGUAAUUUCUUGUCAUCUGCAUGGCUUGGAUCCGUUCCAAAUUUGUGGAAGGACUUAAGCGACAAUUGAGAUGUUGCAUUCAAUAGGCAUUCAGAAUGGAAUUUUUGAGAAGAGAGGAAAAAGUAGGUUAUAUAUAGGCCUUCGUUUCGUGUUUAAGUUUGUUAAAACUAUGCAAACUUCUAUAGUUUAACAUUUUCAGGUACGGUAAAAUAAAUAAAUAUUUUUUAAAACGAAUUUUUGCGUUUUUAUGUUAGUAGACUUUGCGGUUUUAAGAAUUAGUCAGGAGCGGAUGCCGGAGUGGAUUGUUGAUAUAAACGGAGUCUUAAGACACAACAUUCGAAUUUUUUUUUUUUUUAAGUAUAUUUUCUUUGAUUUUGUAGUUUGAGAGUUGUUACAAAGACAUUUCCAUCGGGAAAUCCAUUAAUAUCGAAAGAUGUCCUCCCAUCUCGUCGAUCACCCAUUUUUGGCUUGUCACGUUCUACCACAAAACACAAUAUGGAGAAAUUCAGCCGCUUUAGACGACAUAAAAUCUUUUUGACAAGUUCGAUUGCAAAUGAACUAUGGCAAGCACAAACAAUGAGAACGUUAGCAUCUGCUGUCUUGGCCCGAAUUAGAUUUUCCGUUCAGUCGUCACCUAUUUAUCAACUCGGCAUGACAAGCUUAGAAGAUUCUGCAACUCUGUACAAUCUAAUAUGUUGCCUUCUCAUUGUCAGAAGGAUUUGGCAUCAACCAAUUUAUUAGAUUGUGUUCUCCACAAUGUACGAAUAAUACCGGCUACUACGUCAUUCAUCACUAGCUAAUUACAGUACCUGCCAUUGCAUACUUCUUAAUAUGGCACGGGACGAAGACCGAAUGAUGCGUAUAAAAGAAAAGAGGAAAAAAAAAUCGGACUCGCGACUAUUCUGAAUAGUCAAACGUUAAAAUUUAGUUAAAGCACGCAUAUUCGAUUCUAAUGUGCAGUUUUAAGUCCACAUUCGAGUUAGAAAAACAAAAACAUAGAAGUGUUUAAUCUCCCUUAUCCAUUAAUAUUGUUUUUCAGAAGGUACGAGCAUAUUUUUAAUGUCAACAGUUAGCUAACGAUAAAUCGAAACUGAACUUUAUUAUUAUUACUUCAAUGACACUUUCCUUGUUUAUUUUUAAUUUUCAAUUCAGUUUGCGUACAGUAAAUAAUAAUAUGAUUUUACAAAAAUCUAUACAGCACUUAAUUUCGAUAAGAUCCAAGGUGAGAAGUUUUAUCUAUAAGACAUUUCCCGG
rnacentral:lncRNA from 1 species